GACGAACGCUGGCGGCGUGCUUAACACAUGCAAGUCGAACGAAGAGCGAUGGAAGCUUGCUUCUAUCAAUCUUAGUGGCGAACGGGUGAGUAACGCGUAAUCAACCUGCCCUUCAGAGGGGGACAACAGUUGGAAACGACUGCUAAUACCGCAUACGACCUAAUCUCGGCAUCGAGGAUAGAUGAAAGGUGGCCUCUACAUGUAAGCUAUCACUGAAGGAGGGGAUUGCGUCUGAUUGGCUAGUUGGAGGGGUAACGGCCCACCAGGGCGAGGAUCAGUAGCCGAACGCAGAGGAUGACCGGCCGCAUUGGGGCUGAGACACGGCCCAGGCUCCUACGGGAGGGAGCAGUGGGAAUCUUGCGGAAUGGGCGGGAGUCUGACGGAACAAGGCCGCGUGAGUGAUGACGGCCUUCGGGUUGUGAAGCUCUGUUUAUCGGGACGAAAGGCCUUCUUGCGGAUAGUGAGAAGGAUUGACGGUACCGGAAUAGAAAGCCACGGCUAACUACGUG
rnacentral:rRNA from 1 species